UGGGGAAUAUUGCACAAUGGGGGAAACCCUGAUGCAGCGACGCCGCGUGAACGAAGAAGGUAUUCGUAUCGUAAAGUUCUGUCCUAUGGGAAGAUAAUGACAGUACCAUAGAAGAAAGCUCCGGCUAAAUACGUGCCAGCAGCCGCGGUAAUACGUAUGGAGCGAGCGUUGUCCGGAAUUAUUGGGCGUAAAGGGUACGCAGGCGGUUUAAUAAGUCGAAUGUUAAAGAUCGGGGCUCAACCCCGCAAAGCAUUGGAAACUGAUAAACUUGAGUAGUGGAGAGGAAAGUGGAAUUCCUAGUGUAGUGGUGAAAUACGUAGAUAGUAGGAGGAAUACCAGUAGCGAAGGCGACUUUCUGGACACAAACUGACGCUGGGGUACGAAAGCGUGGGGAGCAAACAGG
rnacentral:rRNA from 1 species